ACCUAGCCCUGAUAGAAGCGAAAAUCCUUAUAUGCCGGGGUUCGGCAUAUAAGAUUGAAGUAAAUAGCAGGAUACAGC
rnacentral:sRNA from 1 species